rnacentral:rRNA from 1 species
CCUACGGGAGGUAGCAGUGAGGAAUAUUGGUCAAUGGGCGAGAGCCUGAACCAGCCAAGUCGCGUGAAGGAUGAAGGAUCUAUGGUUUGUAAACUUCUUUUAUAUGGGAAUAAAGUGAGGAACGUGUUCCUUUUUGUAUGUACCAUAUGAAUAAGCAUCGGCUAACUCCGUGCCAGCAGCCGCGGUAAUACGGAGGAUGCGAGCGUUAUCCGGAUUUAUUGGGUUUAAAGGGUGCGUAGGUGGUUAGUUAAGUCAGCGGUGAAAGUUUGUGGCUCAACCAUAAAAUUGCAGUUGAAACUGGUUGUCUUGAGUAUAGUAGAGGUGGGCGGAAUGCGUGGUGUAGCGGUGAAAUGCAUAGAUAUCACGAAGAACUCCGAUUGCGAAGGCAGCUUACUAAACUAUAACUGACACUGAGGCACGAAAGCGUGGGGAUCAAACAGGAUUAGAUACCCGAGUAGUC